UACGAAGGGUGCAAACGUUGCUCGGAAUUAUUGGGCGUAAAGCGCACGUAGGCGGUUUGGAAAGUCCCAUGUGAAAUCCCUCGGCUUAACCAAGGAAGUGCAUGGGAAACCUCCAAACUUGAGUACGAAAAGAGGAUCGCGGAAUUCCCGGUGUAGAGGUGAAAUUCGUAGAUAUCGGGAGGAACACCAGUGGCGAAGGCGGCGAUCUGGGAAGAUACUGACGCUGAGGUGCGAAAGCGUGGGGAGCAAACAGG
rnacentral:rRNA from 1 species